CCUGGUCAUUCUUGCGCCCCUCCAGAGUCUACGCCCUGUGCCUGGGCACCGGUGGCACCGCCCUAUUUACGGCGCUGCUCCUUAGUUAAUAAAG